rnacentral:rRNA from 1 species
UGGGGAAUCAUGGUCAAUGGGCGAAAGCCUGAACCUGCGACGCCGCGUGAGUGAUGAAGGUCGUAAGAUCGUAAAACUCUUUUCAGGGAUCUUAAAGCCUGUCUGUCAACAACAGGCAGGUCUGACUCUCCCUGGAAGAAGCCCCAGCCAACUACGUGCCAGCAGCUGCGGUAAUACGUAGGGGGCGAGCGUUAUUCGGAAUUACUGGGUGUAAAGGGUAUGUAGGCGGCCCUUCAAGUCGCGUGUCAAAGUCCAAGGCUCAACGCUGGGUGUGCACGGGAAACUGACGGGCUUGAGGGCUGGAGAGGUGAGCGGAAUUCCCGGUGUAGUGGUAAAAUACGUAGAGAUCGGGAGGAACACCAGCGGCGCAGGCGGCUCACUAGACAGUUUCUGACGCUAAGAUACGAAAGCGUGGGGAGCAAACA